rnacentral:rRNA from 1 species
GACCAACACUGGCUGCGUUCUUAGCGCAUGCAUGCCGAACGUAAAGGCCCUUCUUUUGUUGCAUUCUCUUGUGGCGAACGGGUUUGUCACACGUGCGUAAUCUGCCCUUGACUUUUUGUUAACUUCAGUAACUUGAGGCUAAUACCUGAUAGUACCUCCGCCUGCAUUUAGAUUUUUGAAAGAUUGUGGCGGUUGGGGAUGGACUCGCGGCUUAUCAGCUUUUUGGUGGGGUAGUGGCUUACCAAGGCUUUGACGGGUAGCCGGCCUGAGAGGGUGACCGGCCACAUCGGGACUGAGAGUCGGCUCGGUGUCCUCAGGGAGGCAGUAGUGGGGAAUAUUGCACAAUGGGCGGAAGCAUGAUGCAGCAACGCAGCGUGCGGGAUGACGGCAUUAGGGUUGUAAACAGCUUUCGCCUGUGCAGAAGCGUGAGUGACGGUAAUGGGUAAAGAAGCACCGGCUACCUACGUG